CUAAUACCGGAUAAGAAAGCAGAUCGCAUGAUCAGCUUUUAAAAGGUACGGCGUAAGACUGUCGCUAUGGGAGUGGCCCCGCCGGUGCAUUAGCUAGUUGGUAAGGUAAAGGACUUACCAAGGCGAUGAUGCAUAGCCGACGUUGUAGAGACUGAUCGGCCGACAUUGGGACGUGAGACACGGCCCAAACUACCUACGGGAGGCAGCAGUAGGGAAUCUUCCACAAUGGACGCAAGUCUGAUGGAGCAACGCCGCGUGAGUGAAGAAGGUUUUCGGAUCGUAAAGCUCUGUUGUUGGUGAAGAAGGAUAGAGGUAGUAACUGGCCUUUAUUUGACGGUAAUCAACCAGAAAGUCACGGCUAACUACGUGCC
rnacentral:rRNA from 1 species